rnacentral:tRNA from 1 species
GCGCGGUUGGUGGAAUUGGCAGACACGAAGGAUUUAGGUUCCUUUGCUCACGCGUGCGGGUUCGACUCCCGCACCGCGCA